UACGGGGGGAGCAAGCGUUGUUCGGAUUUACUGGGCGUAAAGGGCGCGUAGGCGGCCACUGCAAGUCGGUUGUGAAAUCUCCGGGCUUAACCCGGAAAGGUCAAUCGAUACUGCAGGGCUAGAGUGCAGAAGGGGCAACUGGAAUUCUCGGUGUAGCGGUGAAAUGCGCAGAUAUCAGGAGGAACACCGGUGGCGAAGGCGGGUCUCUGGGCCGAUACUGACGCUGAGGAGCGAAAGCGUGGGGAGCGAACGGG
rnacentral:rRNA from 1 species